rnacentral:misc_RNA from 1 species
CCUCGAUCGUGAUCCUUCAGCUAGGGCACCACCUCCACAAACCUCAGCAGCAUUGUCUCUUCCCGCUACGUCGUACGCCGACGCUGUUCGGUUCGGGAACGGAAGGGUGCAAGGGAACGGAGGGGGCACAAGGCUUGGGAACAUGUCAGGGAAUCGAUCUCAGGGGCCUUUUCAUGGAGGUAACCGGCAGGUCUUUGGAGGACCCAGUGCUCUGGUGGGGAAUAACCCGAUUUAUGCGGGAUUUGGCUCUAAUACAGGACCUCACCGGCUGGGAGCUCCUCAUGGUCAGGUUUUUGGAGUUGUUCCUGCGGCAACUCGUGGUCACGACGCUAUGGAUUUUGGAAGAUCAUCGCAAGGACAGCGGGCGAGGGGCUCCCGCAGUGCCAUAGCCAACAGAUGGCCUCGACCUUACGAUAGGCAGCAGCAACGACCAUUCUCUAGACAACCGCAGCAGGUACAGCCUGCCAUCACACCUUCUCCGAGUUUUGGUGGAGGUCUUCCCUCCUCUGCUCAACCAGCGAGGGCUCAGGUUCCUGCUGACAGUGUUGGAGGAAUGCCUCGCCUCAAACACGUGCAAAGUGCAGAGGUCAAGCAUGGGUUUCCGGCUACUGGGAAGUCAUUAAGUUCAGGGAUUAUGGCAACGGCUGAGUCGGGGGAGACUUUAGUACACCAGGCUGAGGUGGCGAAAGAUAAAGGCAAAUGGUGCUCCAGAUGUCGAAGUAAAGGACAUGUUUCAGCAGAAUGCUCUACGGUUCUUUUCUGCGACAUAUGUGAAGGUUCUGAUCAUGUUGCAGCUUCAUGACCGACUAAGAGGAAGCUGGAAGCCUAAACCUAUGGCGUACUCAGUCGGAUGCCAUGGACGGUCUGGUGUUUUAUCACAUUCCACAUGCUCCUUUUCCGUCGGCAAAAAAAAGAAGGAAAUUUGGCUCUGAUUUCAGUUGAAGGGGGUGUGCUCACUGAAGCGGAACUAGUCUCCCAUCUUGAACGGUUGGUGCCCGGAAAACAUUUUUGGGAUGCUCAAAUGAAAUCAUCGACUAUGUGGGUGACUGCUUUUCCUUCUAAAAAUGAGCUGAAGCGCACGGUAAAUUUUGGAGUGGCUGAUCUGAAGGAUGGGAGACACCUCAAAUUUGAUUUGUUUGAAGAGGAGGAGACGAGGAGUACUUGCAUUGUGGGAAGAACUGCCUCGUGUCAGCAUGCGGGUGCUUAGUUUGCCGGCUGUUCUUCGGGCGUAUGAGGUGUUGUGGGCUAUUGGCACUAUGUUCGGGGGAACGACCAAGAUGGACAUGGUGACAACUAGAAGAAACAACUUUGGGCGUUUUGACGUGGCCGUGCUUAAUCCGGUUAUCAUCCCGAGUGAGAUGGAUGUUGUUAUUGGGACCCGCUGGUUUGAACUAAAAUUCAGUGUUGAAAAUGAACCCCGCGGCGAGGCUGCUGCUACUCAGGAACAACAGUUCUCUGUAGCGGGUGGCCUUGGUGAUGGCUCUGUUCAUUUUAUGAAGCAAUACGAUUCUAGUUCAAGCAAGGUGGCUGAGGUUUUCUCCGGAAUUCCUUCUUGUAAUGCUUCUAGCUUGCAAGGAGAGAAGAUGGCUUGUGAUAUGGUGGAGGAUGAAGACCUUCUAGGAGGGCGCCAGGAGGCUGAUUGUGCCCUGUUGCUGCCAACAGUUCAGUAUGACAUCCAGGGGAGGCGCGUGUGGUGGUCCAUGUGCAACAGCCGAAUGCUAUGGGGGUUGACACUUUUGGUAACUCCUCUUCUAUCAUGCCGAAUAAUACAGAGAAAAGAGCAAUGGUCCCAGGUG